CAAUACGGAAGGUACACGAGUGGCGCACGGGUGCGUAACGCGUAUGUAAUCUGCCCUUGACCGGAACAAAACAGCUGGAAACGGCUGCUAAUAUUCCAUGGUCAUUUUCGGAGGCAUCUCUGGGGAUGUAAAGAUUUAUUGGUCAAGGAUGAGCAUGCGUAUUAUUAGAUAGUUGGUGGGGUAACGGCCCACCAAGUCGACGAUGAUUAGGGGUUCUGAGAAGAUUAACCCCCACACUGGAACUGAGACACGGUCCAGACUCCUACGGGAGGCAGCAGUAGGGAAUAUUGGGCAAUGGAAGGAAUUCUGACCCAGCCAUGCCGCGUGAAGGAAGACGGUCCUAUGGAUUGUAAACUUCUUUUAUCGCAGAGUAAAUUGGGGCACGUGUGCCCCCAUUGAGGAGUAUGCGAUGAAUAAGUAUCGGCUAACUCCGUGCCAGCAGCCGCGGUAAUACGGAGGAUACGAGCGUUAUCCGGAUUUAUUGGGUUUAAAGGGUGCGCAGGCGGAUCGGUAAGUCAGGGGUGAAAAGUUCGUGCUUAACAUGAAUCGUGCCUUUGAUACUGCCGGACUAGAGUGCAAUAGACGUGGGCGGAAUGUGAUGUGUAGCGGUGAAAUGCUUAGAUAUGUCACAGAACACCGAUCGAGAAGUCAGCCCACGAGUUUGCAACUGACGCUCAUGCACGAAAGCGUGGGGAUCAAACAGGAUUAGAUACCCUGGUAGUCCACGCUGUAAACGAUGAUCACUCGUUGUUGGCCGGCGACGGUCAGUGGCCAAGCGAAAGCGAUAAGUGAUCCACCUGGGGAGUACGAUCGCAAGGUUGAAACUCAAAGGAAUUGACGGGGGCCCGCACAAGCGGAGGAGCAUGUGGUUUAAUUCGAUGUUACGCGAGGAACCUUACCCGGGCUUGAACGUAAGACGACGACGCAGGAGACUGCGUUUCCUUCGGGCGUUUUGCGAGGUGCUGCAUGGUUGUCGUCAGCUCGUGCCGUGAGGUGUUAGGUUAAGUCCUGCAACGAGCGCAACCCUUACUUUUAGUUGCCAGCAUGUAAAGAUGGGGACU
rnacentral:rRNA from 1 species